rnacentral:tRNA from 1 species
GCCCCUGUAGUGUAGCUCGGCCGAUCAUCGUGGACUGUCACUCCAUGGACCCGGAUUCAAAUUCCGGCGGGGGCG